AUGGCAACGAGGGCCACGGGAUCGAGUCCGCGAGCGGCCCAGACGGGGAGCGCCCCCCACCCCCGGGCCUCCGUUCUCGGCUUGACCUCUCGGCCGCCGCUCCUUUGCGGGAGGGGUCCCCCCGUGAGGGCGGAGGGGAUCCCCCCUGGGGGGGGCGUCCUGCACCCGCUUCCCCCGCCCCUGCACACCGCCAGGCGCCCGCGUCUCAGGAGCAAGACCCCCCUCGACCACUCCUGGGAGGGGGGCCCCGAGAAAGCCAGGCUGCAAGGGGCCUCCCUGGGGGCCUCAGAGCCUGUGCAGAGGUCGGUCCUCCCAGGCUCUGGGGCCGUCGUCUCGGGCUCUCACGUGGCCGCCGCACGGUCCCUGCCGUGUGCCCGAGAGGGCCGGCGUCCUGGCCGCACCACUCCUGGGACGGGUGCCUGUGGGCGGCGACGUCGCUCCCCGGGCCCUCUGUCCCCCUCACGAGAUGAGAGCGUGUUUGCAAGGCGCGAGCAGGCUCCUGCCCGCAGAGGGCUUAGGACGGGACUUGGGCCACGCGGGGUGUGGCUGUCGCCACCCUGGCAGCGUCCCUGGCGGGCAGCAGAGGGGGGCGGCAGGGGUGCGACCGACCCGGGGCCAGGUCUACAUUCUAUCCGUCCGGACCCAGCUCGCUCCCCAAAAGGGCACGCACGGUGGCUCCUGACAGAAGCGCAGGCACCCCAGCUGCCCAGACCCGCGCAGCACGGCACCCCCUGGGAGAGACAGCCGGCUCAUGAGACCCCGGCUGAGGCCCAGACCGCUUUGAAUUUUCUAGAAGCCGGAAGAGGCCUGAGAAGUCGGGCUGGCUGGCACAGGCGAGGAGUGGGAUGCAUCCCCCCAAAUAUUCACUCCUUCACUUCCUAUGCAAACUCCCCGAAGCCUGCUGCAGGCGGGGAGGGGGGAUGCGUACAUCCCAAGGUCCUGUGGUCGGUUGGCGACCCAGGACGGCCCCUGCUGGAGGCCACGACGGCGUCAGAGGAGGGCCGAGCGCCGGCCAGGGCAGGAGUUGGUGACAGCUUGUAG
rnacentral:lncRNA from 12 species